rnacentral:rRNA from 1 species
UACGUAGGGAGCAAGCGUUUGUCCGGAAUCAUUGGGCGUAAAGCGCGCGUAGGUGGCUUCGUAAGUCCGUUGUGAAAGUCAAAGGCUCAACCUUUGAAAGCCGAUGGAUACUGUGGAGCUAGAGUACGGAAGAGGCGAGUGGAAUUCCUGGUGUAGCGGUGGAAUGCGCAGAUAUCAGGAGGAACACCAAUAGCGAAGGCAGCUCGCUGGGACGUUACUGACACUGAGGCGCGACAGCGUGGGGAGCAAACAGG